AGAUUGUUAGCUUCUUAAUGUUAUGUAAAUUCUGAUAAAUGACACUUAACACACUACUCACAAUUCUCGCAGGCAUGGAGAUCCAAUAAGGAAAGGAUCCAAGCAAAACAACACCAACAUGGAAAGCAAUAUAUUCUGAUCCUUACAAUUACUUCAUAAAGGAAACGCAUAAUCAAAGGGAUUAAAGAAUCAUUAACAGAAGGCCUAAAG
rnacentral:lncRNA from 1 species